rnacentral:rRNA from 1 species
UACGAAGGGUGCAAGCGUUACUCGGAAUUACUGGGCGUAAAGCGUGCGUAGGUGGUGAGUUAAGUCUGUCGUGAAAGCCCCGGGCUUAACCUGGGAACUGCGUUUGAUACGGAUGGGCUAGAGUUCGGGAGAGGAGAGUGGAAUUCCCAGUGUAGAGGUGAAAUUCGUAGAUAUUGGGAAGAACACCGGUGGCGAAGGCGGCUCUCUGGACCGAGACUGACGCUGAGGCGCGAAAGCGUGGGGAGCAAACAGG